GUGAAAGGGUCGUUUGAGCUCCAGGUUGGAAAAUGCUGAACCAAAAGACUCAGAGGGAAGAAGACAUGAUCUUCCAUGAGAGGAACCUGGGAAAAGCCGAUGUUCUGAAGUCAGAAGUUAAGCAAUGUAGGAUCACACACCAGCCAACUUUACAGAAAAGUCAGAUCUGACAGUCUCCACAUGCAAAUCUAAAUGAAGAACAGAAGGCAAGAAAGGUUAUCCCAUGUGGAAGGAAGAGCAAGUGCAAUGCAAAAGGGAGGAAAUUGGACAGAGUCACCAGAGAGCAACCAUACAAUGGAACAAAGUCAAGAGGAAACCAACCAAGCAAUGUUGCACAAUGGGAACACAGGACAUGUCAAGUGUAUCACAGAUUUAGCCCCACGGGGUUCUUGGGACUCAUAACCACAGCCUUUUGGAAGGAAAGAGUUGAAUUCCCAGGAUCCCAAAUCCACUCCCACAAGGACAUGGCGCCAGGUCAUUACUGUCCUUGUCAAGCACAUUCCUGGUUUCAGACAAGGAAGUACAUUCCUUCUCCAUACAUCAGGACUUCGAAGAAAGCUUUGCAUUGGCCUAGCUUCCAACACACUAGCAACCUUCCAUUCAUGUAUUUAUUAGCUUAUUGUUGGUCAGUUUCAGUCAAAAGCUAGAAAAUAAAAAUUCACUCAACAAUUUUGUUCAUUCAGUACAACUUAGGAAUCUUAGUUGAUUACUGUAAUGACCAUCUUCAUAUGUAAAAUGUCUGUUGAGUUUUUAUUACUUACUCUUUCUUGUAUUAAUUUCUAUUUCACUGUAUUGCUAUAUACACCAUCUUCAAAUUCAAAAACAUUAUUGAGCUUUAUUCUAAGAGAAAAGCUACUCUAUAAAAACAUUUCAAAUUAUUAAGUAAUUAAUGACAAGACAAAUAUAUUAAAUGAUGAACGUUCAGAUGGGUGAUUGAUCAUGAAGUAUUGGAAUAAUUUCCUAAGUCUUAUCACAAUAAUUAAAGUAUUAAAAUGAGAAACAUCAAUGGAGUUAAUGCCAUAAUAAGAAGACAGAGAAUUUUAAUCCAAGUAUGUUUUAUCCCAAGUUCAUGCCCUCUCAAGGAAGCAGGAUUGUUUCCAGAUGUUUAUAGGGAUUUUGCUCUCUGUGGAAACUUCUUUAUGAAUCAGGAUUCAUGUAUUAUUUACAAGAAUCCUGCAAAGAAAGCAACGAUGGUAUUUUAAAAAUUGAUAUCUAGUUAUGGUACAGUAUUGAAAAGUUUUGAAACAAGAUUUCCUAUGUGUAAAAUGAAGCAUUUAAGUUGAAUUGUUUGAGUGGCCAUUUUAAGUUAUAAUUUUAAAGAACUAUAUUAAGUUAUCUAUCCUCCAUUUUCUCAGUAUGAAAAAUGUAUCUUGCUUCAUGAGCAGAACUCUUUCUAGCCACCUAUGAUAUGAUAUUUAUGUAUGUGCAUGUAGAUAAUCAAAUAAUGCACAUUUUGAUGUACAAUAGCUAUGUACAAGAGCUUGGUGAGUAUGUCUUGAAAAAUAAGUGAUCUUAUAUGACUUAACCGUAUAAUUUCUCUUUUAGAGAGAAGUGCUUUAGAGCCUACUCUAUUGAUUAGUGCAAUUCAAAGUUCAAACAGUUUCCUUUAUUAUGGAAACACCAUUUUAUAUAGGUGAAAGUGAAAUAUAAGAAGCUUUGCAUUUCUUUUUGUUGGUUCUUUGUUUUCUGUUUUGCUUUGCUUGAAUAUAUCAAAACAUGAGCAUAAACUUGUAUAUUUAGAAAGUGGUUAGUUACUUCUAUUUAUACCAUUAUUGCUCCAAUAGGCUUAUAUUGUCAAACCAGUCAUUGUACUCUGUAGGGUUCACAGUUGGGUGAUGGGUUUGAAAACAAUAAUGACUUUGCUUUCCAAUGAACUACAUGUGUAAUUCAUAUAAACUUACACAAACUUAUAAACAUAUAUUUCAUAACUUCUAUAUAGACAAAAAUAUAAAUUUGAUUUGAGAAAUUCAUAUGAAAAAUUUAGCUGCAUAUCUUCUUUGUCCCUUGCCCUGGUUGUGUAUUCAAGCAUCUGUACAUAGGUUCGCUGUAUGGAGAUAUGCUACUCUACAGAAUAUUGGUCAUUUUGUAACAGCAGUUUGACUGUCUUUCUAAAGGGAAAUAAAUUAGUUUUCACUGAUAUGAUCAGAAAAUCUGAUAGUACUCUAGUAUUUUCUUUUACCAAAUAAUAAAAAAUAUAGUAAGCCUAAAAAUCAGUAUACAUCCUGCUAGCUGCUGAAGUUUAUCUUACUCUUUAACUGUUCAUUCAAAUACCAUUGCUGUAAAAAAGACAAGAAACUUAAUUUCUCUUGAAGCACAAAAAGAAAUCACAGAUGAUUACAUAAUAAUCUGAAUAUAUCCAUGAAAUUGAAAUAAAAACAAGAAAUUUCAAGCAAUGGGAGGAAAGUAGUCAUUAAAUAUUUUCAAGCAUUCGUUUCCUUAUGUGCUUAUGUUUUCAACUUAUCAGUAUGAAAAAGUGGAUCAACCAACUUCCUUUAUAAUAUGAGAAGCUGUUAAGUUUUUAAGCUGAUUUGUAAAUUAGAAUGCACUAGAUGUAAAUGUUAUUGGCAAUUAAGGUUGCUUAUUUGCCUUCCUCAUUUUUUUUUCCAGUCGCAAGCAUUAUCUUAUAGAUAACAUCAUUUUGUGGAGCUAACUGAAAAUGAGAAGUGGGGAAACAAUUUUACCAGCUAGUGUGAUUAGUAGAGACACAUAAUUGCCUGCCUAUUUACUUUGAAGUUGUCAUUUAAUGAAGUGUUUCUAACUAAAACUCUAAUGGAGAGAAAUUCCUAAUUUCUUUUUAAUAUUUCCCUAUGUCUACUAACGUAAUUUAAAAUAAAUUUGAAUACUGAUUGCUAAAUUAUAUUCUUUCCCAUCAGCAGAACAUCAAAUUGUUUCUCUUUAUAGACAUCAAAACAAAUCACUUAGGAUGUUACAUAAAAUAAACAGCCAAUCAUUAGAAGAUAAUCAUAAGUCCAAAUAAAAUGCCAAUUUUAUGUAUUCAUUUGAAAUAAAUGUAUAUUUUAUGCUAUAUUAAUAUACUUAUUUCUUGAAAGCUAUUGACUUUUGUGUAUUUCUGCAUUGUUACUGCUAAAAAUUAUAUUUAAAUAAAAGCUUGUCAUAUAAACAAAUGCAGCCACUUCUUAUUAGCUGUGGCAACAAAGAGAACUUAACAUAACUAACAGCAUUUGAGACACCUGCACCGUAAAGCAGCACCUGCAGACUAAUAACUAGUACAAAAUGUCAAAAGUUGGAGAUACAGAAAGUCUAUCUAACAAAGUCAGUGAUAGACAAAGGAGUGGCUUCAUUACCCUUGUUUGGGCAGACAAUACUUAUCAAACCAUUAUCUUCUCUCUGGUUGGUUCAGGACAUGCAUCAAAUGUGGUGUCUUCUAAUUGACCAAAUAAUCACAUUACAACCGUCUUCCUCAUUUCUCCGCAAGAGGCCCCAUG
ensembl:lincRNA